UUACUCCUACGGGAGGCAGCAGUGGGGAAUAUUGCACAAUGGGCGCAAGCCUGAUGCAGCCAUGCCGCGUGUGUGAAGAAGGCCUUCGGGUUGUAAAGCACUUUCAGCGGGGAGGAAGGCGAUAAGGUUAAUAACCUUGUCGAUUGACGUUACCCGCAGAAGAAGCACCGGCUAACUCCGUGCCAGCAGCCGCGGUAAUAACCC
rnacentral:rRNA from 1 species